CAGCAGCGACACAGGAUGGAGGCUGCUUCCCUCUGCCUGAUACUGUCAGCCACACUGAGCAUCCAUCCCGACAAGUCUCAGUUCUUUCGGAAGGAGGACAUCUCUGUGACGUGUGCGGCGCCGACAAACUCCAGCAGCUGGACGUUGAUGGGGAACAACUCCUUAAAUAUGUCCCAUCCCUGCGAGGGCGGCGCCUGCGCCCUGAGGAACCUCUACCCAUCGGACACCGGAGUGUACUGGUGUCAGUCCGAGCGGAGCGAGUGCAGCAGCACCGUCAACAUCACAGUGACUGCCGGUGUCGUGAUCCUGGAGAGUCCUGCACUUCCCGCGACAGAGGGAGAGAAAGUGACCAUUCAAUGUUUCUACAAGGAGAGAGUUGCACCGAAUCCGACGUCGGAUUUCUCUGCUUCGUUCUACAGAAAUGAUGAUUUGAUCGGCACUGAGGAUGCAGGAAAGAUGGUCCUCCCAGCGGUGUCCAGGUCUGACGAAGGCUUCUACAUGUGUGAACACCCAACGAAGGGGAAGUCACCGCAGAGCUGGCUGGCUGUGUCAGUGGGACCUCAGCCUACAGAUGUCCCUCCUCCUCCUCCUCCUCCUCCUCUCAUGUCUCUGCCCAGGCUGCUGUGUACCAUCCUGCUGUUCAUCCUCUACACUGCCAUACUCAUAAUGUGCAUACACUUGUUCUGCAGGAUGACUCGAGGUAAGAACACCUCUGAGAAUUGAUGCAGUGAAAUGUUCCCUGUCAGUGUUGGACUGUUUGAGCAUUACUUUAGCAUUACUUUAGCAUUACUUUAGCAUUACACUGAACUAGCAGCUAGACACAGAUUGAGUCUUUGUUGUUCAUGUUCAUGCGGCUGCUUCAUUUUGUGUUUCACUGACAUGUGAUCGAUGGCCUCUCUUGUGGCUGAUGACGGGUUUGAAUCUGUGGUUUUCGGUGGAAGACUAGCAUUAAAAAUCAACACAUUUGGAGCUCGAGCUGAUGCUAAAAGGAGAGCUGAUCUCGUACUGGAAUGAUGAAGAAGAAGAUCUUCAACUUGUGAUAUUGCAGAUAUAUCGGCCAAUAUCAGUGUGAAGAAGGCAAUAUUCUUAUAUUUUUAUUAUUCCAUUUUUCUAAAAUAGUGUAUUUUUUCUUAGCUACUGUAUGGAGGAGGGAACCUGGCAAAACAAAAAAUGAAUAAAUUAAAAGAUACAUUUAAAAAAAUGGAUAACAAAUGCAAAAAAAGCAUAUUUAAAAAAAAGAGGCGAAUAAAAUCAGAAGUAUAAAUUUACCAAUUAAUGAAUGCAUAUAUGUAUUUUUUAUUUGUUUUUGGUAUAUUUGUUGGCAUAUUCAUUUAUUUAUUAAGUCAUUUUUUGUUUAUUCUAUUUUGGCAGCUUUCAUCCUCCAUAAACACGCUUUAUUUAAUAAUCUUUAUAAUUGUUUGCAUUUCUUAUUCCUAUGUAACAAUCUACACAGUUACAUUACCAGCCAGAAAUAAAUAACUAAAUUUAACAAGGAAUAAAUAAAUGUAAAAAUAAAUACAUACAAGUAAAGAUUUAUAGAAAUAGAUAGAUAGAUAUGGCUGCAUUAUGAUUUAUGACUUUACUCUGAUAUCCUGUACAUUAGUUUGUAUUCUGAGGAUUAUGGGAUGUCAUUUGUGCAGUUAUUUUAUCAUAAAUCAAAGUAUAAGAUGAAAAGUUAUGUAAGUUAAAUAAGUCAGAGUUGGGAAUGACAUCACAGCCGAGUUGACAGCGUUCCAGUAAAACGUGUGAACCUGAACACCAGUUCAGCGCAUCAUGUCCGGAUGUGUUUAACCUUCAGAUCAGCUCUGUGGAAAUCUACUUCGUUGAGAAACAUUCACUCAAAUGUCUAAAUAAACUCAUGAACAGCAGCUUCAAUGAUCGAGUCACGCCACCUGGUGGGCAGGUUUCACUUUCACUCACUCGACCUUUGAAAUGAACCGUCUCUUCUAACGGGUCAUUUUAACGGGUUUAUUUCCAUAAACGUGUUGAACAUUGUAAUUGUGCUUAAUGAACAAAAUAAAACAUAAAACAGA